UUUAUUUCCCUUGACCCUGAACUUCCAUCUUAGAAGCAACUCAUGGUGAGCUAAACUGAAUGCACCCUGUUGUUCCAAGCAGGAGUUUUUCUUGCCUCAGCCAACUGACAGCAGACUCUCAGACCUGAUAGGACCAUCAGUGGAGUCUUGAUAUCACCUGGAUCACUCAACAAAUCUCUGGGACCAGAGCUGAAGGAAUCUACUUAUAGAGAAGGCUCAUCUGAAGGAGGUUCUGAAAUUCUGAGAUGACCCAAGAGCUCUCGACAUAUGGCAAUCUACCUCUCAACACUGCAAAUUCAUUUGUAUGGACCAGCAAGCUCUUCCUUUAGGGCACAAUGGGCCUUUGGGCAGGUUAUCUGGAGAGCAUGGAAUAAGAUGACAUUUACUCAGAAGCCUGAAGUUAUAUAGGACAGUAAAGGUGGGAGCUCGGGAGCUUCUGUUUUGGUAAGAAGGUUUCUUCCACCCUGAAUAAUUGU
rnacentral:lncRNA from 1 species